UCAAGCUGCCGACUUGAAUACCAGAGUCUAGAUCAGUGUUGGAUUGUUGCGCGCCACAGAUACAUUACUCACUUCCAGCAGGCACUUUAAAAUGGAUGACGAGGAGAAACUGGAAAUGACCUAUAGAAGGUUAAAUAACAUUCGAUUGGGAAAUACCAGCUUGCUGAAACUCUCAAUGACGCAAGCCGUUCAAAAUAUCUGUUCCUACGAUGAAGGAGAUCUGGAAAAACUAGUUAAAUCCACCGAGAAGCUGAAG